rnacentral:lncRNA from 1 species
GUCAACCUAAAGGAAGAAACUGAGGCAAAAUUAAUGAACACUACUCCCCAAAUAGGUUCUGCCCAUGGGAUGUGGAGAUGAUGAAUUUUCUAACCUCAGUGUUGCUGACACUUAGAUCCAUGCGCUUCUGGAAAGACUCAUUUCUAAGCCAUCACGGCUGAUUGAAUGAUUGUAUCCCCCAGGUGUUUAAUAAUGGAUCCAUGUCAAUCCUAAAAGAAGUAUCUGGUGGACUGCAAUAAGGUUCUGCCUGUGAUCGUCUUCAUUUUAUCAUCCACUCAUGAAGAUGUGAAAGCCAGACUUCAGACAGACAAUUAGAGGGCAUUAGUAAUGCAUAUUGGAUGAGAAGUUGUGACACAAAAUUUUAAUAGGCUGCAAAGAUGUGCUAAAAUUCACUAGGUAUAAAUGAUGUCAUAGGUUCAGGGAGAUACUGAGACAAGUGUGAACAGAAUACAUGAGAUUACACUGAAGUUCAAUUAACUGCUAGUCAAAAACUAAAAACUAAAACAAUGUAUUCUGUAGUGAACACUUGCAGAUCUGUGUGCUUAGUUCACCUUUUCUAGAAGUUGCCCCUUCCCUUGUCCAGAUGGUUGCAAAAAAGCACUGACGUCACAACAUGACCUGGUUCCUGGCCACAGUUGAUAGGUCCAGAAACUGAUACUCAACUUAAGAAUAAGGAUCUGUUCUGUUUAUUUUAAAAUCAGAACCAAGAAUGGUAAGCUGGACUGUCUUCGAAAGCCUGGACUCUAAGAAGUAAAGCUUUGGAUUUAUAGGCAGCCAUGUCCCCCACCACUGGGGUGGCAGAGGAAUCUAGUCUUUGGAGAGAGGGGUGGACAUGAGAGAUGGAAAGAGACUCCUGUCUACAUGUUCCUAUGGCUCAGUUGCAUUUCUCUUCCUUGAGUAUCACUGUAUUCUAAUAACCUAAUAGAUCCUCAUAUCUUCCCUUUCAACUCAAGCUAACUAAGUGUCUCAUAUUUGCAAAGCAAAAUGUUCCAAGUACAUGACUUAAGCUCCAGCUACAGUGCCCUGAAUAAGGGUGGGAUAAUCAUAAUAGUAAAUUUCCAAGUGGCCAAGUCUUAACUUUGCCUUGGCCACACUAAUGUGGUCCAUGUGGUCAUUUCCAGGCUCAACUUUCUGAAGAUGAUGGUCAAGAGACAGAAGUCUCUGAGGAAGAGGAGGUAGCUGUUUAGAAAUGUUUAAAGGGUUGCCAUGUAUAAGUCAAAGUAGGUGUUCUAUGUUGCUCCAACAGACAAAAAUGAUACCAAUAGUCAAAAGUUGGAAUGCAGAUUUUGACUGGACACAACAAUUGUUUUUGUAAGUAUUAGACUUAUCCAAUAAAGGAAUGGAUGACCUA